UACGGAGGGUGCAAGCGUUGUCCGGAAUUAUUGGGCGUAAAGCGCGCGCAGGCGGUCCUUUAAGUCUGAUGUGAAAGCCCACGGCUCAACCGUGGAGGGUCAUUGGAAACUGGGGGACUUGAGUGCAGAAGAGGAGAGCGGAAUUCCACGUGUAGCGGUGAAAUGCGUAGAGAUGUGGAGGAACACCAGUGGCGAAGGCGGCUCUCUGGUCUGUAACUGACGCUGAGGCGCGAAAGCGUGGGGAGCGAACAGG
rnacentral:rRNA from 1 species